AGAGAGAGACAUGCGCGCAUAUCAAUAAGCGGAGGAAAAGGAAACUAACAAGGAUUCCCCUAGUAACGGCGAGUGAAGCGGGAAGAGCUCAAAUUUGAAAUCUUAAAGGGUUUCCCUUUACGAAUUGUAGUUUAAAGAAGUGUUUUCUGUUGAGGUUUUGGUAAAAGUUCUUUGGAAUAGGACAUCAUAGAGGGUGAGAAUCCCGUAUUUGACCUUUACUUUCAACUUUGUGAUACACUUUCAAAGAGUCGGAUUGUUUGGGAAUGCAGUCCAAAAUGGGUGGUAAAUUUCAUCUAAAGCUAAAUAUUGGCGAGAGACCGAUAGCGAACAAGUACCGUGAGGGAAAGAUGAAAAGAACUUUGAAAAGAGAGUUAAACAGUACGUGAAAUUGUCAAAAGGGAAGCGUUUGACACCAGUGUUGUUUUUCUGAAAAUCAAUUAAAGAACUGUUUAUGCUAAGCUGUUUAGACUUUAUCAGCUAUACUGUUUAGUUUUGAGCUUUUCUUUAAUGCACUUUUCAGUUAACAAGUCAACAUCAAUUUCUUUUGCUGUAAAAAAGCUUGAGGAAGGUGGCUUGAGAUUCGUCUUAAGUGUUUAUAGCCUCUUGCCUAUGCAGUCGGAGAGAUUGAGGUCUGCAGCGUAGAUCCUUCGGGGCUAAAUGCAUUUGUGCUAAGUUAUAGCAUUUUAUAGACAACUUGUUGACUAUGAUUUGUCUUGUAGCUUACUCGCUUAUGUUAUUUUACCUACGCUUAGGAUGUUGAGCGCAUGUCUCUCUCU
rnacentral:rRNA from 1 species